AUGGCGGACAUUGAUAUUGAUCCGUUUGGUGACCACGACCAACCCGACGAGGGUACCGAUGACUCCACACCUCUGGUACCGAGGGAGCGCACGCGCGUGCAGAUACACACACCUGAUGAAAAGGAGACAUCAUUCGGUGGAGGCUCCACUCAACGUACCAGAGUUUUGCGGGAAAUGGUUGAUGUGUUGUAUGAUAGAUUAUCUGAAGGAUCCCUGUCAAAACCUGAGGUGCUACAUACAGACCUUUUUGAAAUUAAGGAUGGUGAAUUAUACUACAGAGAUAAAAACGAACCUUUGACAAACAAUGGAAGACUAAGGGCCACCGGUACUAUAUCAGAUAUAUUAGGCAAGAGAAGGCUGCGUAAUUUAGGCUUUGACAUACCAAAAGGUAAGAUUACAGCCCGACAAGCUGCUAAGCUAAACAAAAUACAAGAAGAAUUACCCUCGUCAUCUAAAAUAACAACAGCAAGUGAUGUAGAAUUAGAAGCCAUAUCCGGGGAUGUGGUAAACAGUACGGAAGAUUUAAUUUCAUUGGUCAAACAAUCUGUAGACCAUGAAGCAACCCAGACCGGUGAUCUAUUUGAAUAUCCUAUGCGUGAAUUGCUAGGAUUGGAUAGAUCAUUGAGAAACAUAAGAGGAAGUCUUCAGGAUGAAGUUGCAAAAAAGGUUCAGCUCGAACAGCAUAUUGACAGAGAAAAAAACAAGUUGGAAGAGAUGGAAAACACACCAAAUAUGACCGAGGAACAACAAAAUGAAGCGAAAGAAAGGUUGAAAGGUUUGCAAAAUGAGUUGAAAGGCCGGCAAGAGAUUAUCGAUAUUCUCAAAGGUAAACUUAACAGUCAAAUAAAAAGCAUCAGGGAGACGAUUACAAAAGUACUUGACAAAGAAACUACAUUGGGUGAAAAGAUACGAACCCUAUUCCGUGAGCAGGGUAUCACUGUUGUCAGCGUACUAACGGCAUUUGGUAUGGUUAUCGGCCUUCUAGUAGAAGCUUUGACACCAGGGGGUGGGGGGUCAUCCACCGGUAAUACAAAAAAUCAUGAAAAAACCGAAGGUGGUGCGAGGGAAUGGAUAAAGAACAAGCUGAGCGCACUAGGAUCUCUCCUGGGUAGAUUAGCCAGUGCCGCAGCCGCAUCACUACCUGGUAUAAUUGGAUCCAUCGUAUCGUGGAUCCUAAAUAGAGCAAAGGAGGCCGUCGGUUGGUUGAGUCAAAACCUGUGGGCUUUGAUAGUCGGAAUCGGAGGUCUGAUGUACACCUACAUGGUGACAAAACGUUAGUGGAAUCUGGAAUAUAUGUUACAUGACACAUGUAACAUAAUACCCGCGGCAUGGUACUAUUUUUCGAAAUACCACACGGCACUCCCGACACCAAUCAUGCUUAGCGCGAUAAAUGCCAAUUCCCUCUCAUGCUGGUCAUUGCUGGGUGUAUAAAAGUCGCUCAAUACGGGUUUGCGCGGAAUAUCUGUGAGAGGUGAUCCUCCAAAUACUUUUUUAUAUUCCCGCAUCGCGUCAUCCAGCUCCGUGAAUUUACCCUCGGCCUUCUUCUCAAGUCUGAGCUGCUUAUUAAUAAAGUCAACCCUCUCCUGUCUUUUACGUUGCCAUAUAACCUGAGCCUUCUGCAGUUGUUCUAUGGCUAGAUCAUGCCGCUUCCGUUCCUUAUCUAUCCUAUCCUUUGAUAAACUUGAAAAGAGGUAGCUUGAUCCGGUAAAGGCCAAAGCGUUCGCGAAGGCACCUCCCAACAUCAUUGCAAUUGAAGCCAUGUUUAUAUAAUCCGAUAUAAUAUGGUGGCGUUAUUUUAAUGCGAUAGCCUCGGAGGCUAUGACAUCAGAGUCGUCUAUGACCUCGGUAUCCACCUCGGUGUAUUCCACCUUGGGUAAAAUACUCUCAACUUUCUUACGUCGAUAUAAAACCCAGACCAACCAUUCCAGUAUUCGCAACAUUAUAUAUUUAUAGUUUCAGGUAUAAUUUUUUGCUUAACUAGAUAUUCUCUUGUCAUCUCACUUGCGGCGACUAUGGCUACAAGCUUUCCUGUAUCUUCCAGGUCAAACUUCUGAAUUGAGGGUGGUGUCAUUUUUAAUACCUUUUUCCCGAGCAUUGAAUAGCCUACAGCGAAAACGCAUACGACCGAUGCCUUAUAAAUAUCGUUGACUAUACUUUUCUUAUCCAUGUCUUAUAUUUACUUCAAGAUUAUAGUAUCGCGAUAUUAUCCCUUUAUUCCAUUUCAAGCUUACUUAUUCUCACGGUUUUUUUAGGAUCGGAGGGUGGUGGGGUACCCUUCACCUUAAUAUUUUUGUCCUUAUUUUUAUACACGAAAUAAGCACCAAUUAAGACUAGUACUAUCACUCCUCCCCCCAUUAUGGUGUAGUUCAUGGGCCCUCCAUCUGGUUUAUGGCCUUCGGUCAUAGAAUCCACAUCUAUUACAAUAUCAUUUGAAUCUUCGGGCUGUGUUUGUGCUUGAGGCGUCGGCUGUGUUUGUGCUUGAGGCGUAGGCUGUGCUUGAUUCUGUACCAUGAGCCAUUUUUUAUAUUCCUCCCUCUUUUUACGGUUGUAUUCCGCCAACCUCUUACCAGAUUCAACCUUUUUAGGGUUCUUCGUUGUCACCUGAAUAGGGGUCUGUUCCUCUGACAUCUUUAUUAUCUAUAUCUAUAUUAUUAUUUGCGUUUAAAUUUCUUCCAGCGAUAUAAUGCCUACCUGUAAUUAGACCCACACUGAUUGGUGAUAAGAAUGAGCCGAAUCUAUAAUACAAAUCGCACGUGAACCUUUGAAGGGCGGAGUUUAGGAAUGGGUCAUUCUCCAGGUCAUCUCUCAAUGCAUCUUGAUUGUUUAUUCCUAAGACUGUACAGGCCCCCAUGGAAUACAUGUGAAUGAUUGAUUGCCCCAAAGACUUCACCAUUUGACCUGAUAGUUUAGCUUCAUAGAUACUAAAGAGUUUCUUUACCUCUUCAUCUUUGAGCUUUUGAAUUUGCUCGUCCGUAUACAUUUUACCCAGGUAUAGCUUGCUAUUUCCGGUUAACACACACUCGAGCAAUUUUUGCCUCUUGCCAUCAUCGGGUGUAGGACCCUGAAUAAAAAUUAAGUUGUCAAUUGCAGUUUCAGCCAUUUUCAAUAGCGAUAGGUAUUUUUUAACACAAAAAAAGCAAAAACUAAGUACUAAUACUAGUAGUAGUACUAAUAUUAUGAAAUUGAUAUAUUCUAUCAUGGUCCUAUAGGAGUCUAUAGGAGUCUAUAGGAGUAUUAUAGGAGUAUUAUAGGAGAGUCUUAUAGGAGUCUAUAGAUCUGUUAGAUACUUUUGUUACAAGAGUCUUGUAACAAAAAAAAAAACGUCCAAUCUAGCAAAUCACAUAAGUUCUUGGAUGUUCCAUUCUCAUGACUAAAUGUGUGUAUUUGCCAUCUUUUAGCCUUUCCUUAACCUUCUGGAUCUCUGACCGUGAUUCAAUGACAUCAUUCUCUUCAUGAAUAGUUGCGAGAUCUUGCCUGUCCUUCGGAUACCACACAUAUAACAUUUUCGCCUGCCUUCGUAAGUUCUUCGGUAUCGCGGUGUAUGAUUGUGUGAGUAGCCACAUGGUGUGGUUUCGAUGCCGACCGCUGAUGGCCAGCUCCAGCAGUGGUUGUCUCUUUUUGUCCAGUUUCUCAUCUGCGAUUAUAUCGUCGAUCAGGAAUAAUGUUUUGUAUCCCGCACAGAAAUCCGUCAUCUUUUGAAUCCAUUCGUACAACAUGCCCAUGGGCUCAAUUAGAAUCACAUAUCUAUCCCUCCAGAACCAUUUUCGACACAUAUAUGUCUUGUUCCAUCUUAAUGUUGGACAUAUAAUCACAAUGAAAUCGAAGUGAUCAAAGUAUUCACUCUCUAGUAGUGUUACAACGCGUUUAGAUUUUCCGCAGCCCGUGGGACCGACGAAUAGUGCCGUGUGGGGAUCUUUCAUGUAGUCCAUCUUAAUAUAGUACAUCCAUAAUUUCACCAUUUUGAAUAUUUAAUUGAGCAUCCAUGAUUAGAUAUAUGUAGGCGUUUAAGGAUCCCGCGGUUUCGGCCGUCUUUUCAACUUGCAGUGUGAUGCCCUCGCUCGCAUUUUCAAUCCGUCGGCCGGUCCCGUGCAGUGAGUUUUCAUCUAUGGUUCUGAAGUCCAGCCACAGGGCAUAUUUCGUGGUUAGGUAGUCCGCGACCUUCACGUCAUGUAGUUGCAGAUGUUUCUGUAUUUCACCGGCAUUGCCGUCCCUUUGCUUACCCUCUGCGAAAUACUUGCAUAUUUCACCAUAAUGCUCAAACGGUUGCAUCCCUUGAGCGAAAAGUUGGUUAGGCUUACCCUCAACUAUGGCGGAUACCUUUUUGAUCUUGGGAUUGUAGAACUUACCGGUAUCUCGUUUGUAAGCUUUCUCUUCCUCAAACAGAACCAAUAUACCCUUCAGAGACUUGCAUGGUGUAUUGAACGACCAAUUCCACGUUGUGUCUGACUUAUCCACCCUAAUUUGUCUAUGUCUCAAGAAUCUGUCAUAGAGCACGGCCAUGUUUUGGUAUUCAUUUGAGAUGAAUCUGGCGAGUGUGGGUUGUGUCACAAUCUCAUAUUCUAGAGAUAUGUUGGAGAUUUUGUAUUUGGCAUCCGGUGCCGGUGCUGUGGCAGAACCCGAAGGUUUGGUAGGUGUUGAUAAUACGACCCUGUCGUAACUGUUGAAUGUUAUCUCAUAACACAGCCUAUUACCUAAUCCGGCCUGAUAAUAUGGGAUCGUGCUAUCCAACAUUUCAAUAUCUAGUGGUAUGGUGAACUUAUUUUUGUAUGCAUCAUAAAUAGCCUUGUCCGCUACCUCCGAUGCGUCUUUAUCCGCAGCUCCAACUCUCAGUUUCAUACAGUUUUCUGUACACCCUUCAUCAAAGAUGAUACCUUGUCUUAUUGCAUUUCUUUUUUCAGACUUGGUUAGCCAUAAAUCUCUGUAGCACCCGAAAAGAUCAAAGUCAUCAAUGCUCAGAAUCUCGGUACCCUCGAACUUGAUGGCCAACUUUUUAACAAUUGCCCUCCCUAUGUUAGAUACUAAUGUUCUCUUCGUGUCGACUUUUGACUCGAGUUCAACGUCGAAACUUAUUUUCGAAGUACCGGGAACAAUGACAUCAUCGUUACCUAAAUUAGGGAACCUAAUCAGGAGUAACUGGUUCUGAUCAAUCUCACUUGGGUUGUGAGUGACAACUACUUUUUGAUGCGUUCCUUUUACGCCAUGUGCGGUUCUAAGUGAACGCUCUGGGUUUAACUUUUUCCCGUAUUCCAUGCUAUUCCAUAUUACUUUUAUUUUAUUUUACUUUAAUUCGGUUAAUGCUACGGUAUCAUCUGUCCGCCGUAUCUCUUAUGUGUAGGGUAACUGUUGUCUUCAUACCACCCCAUAGCACCUUACCAUCCUGACCUGUGACUCUCAUGAUAGUAAGAAACCGCUACCAACACCGAGACAAAUUCAAGAGGAGGUGAUUGAAUGCAGUACCACUUAUUCAACAAUACAAAGACCUGUGCCAGCACCGCGGCGUGCUAAAACGAUAAA